rnacentral:rRNA from 1 species
UGUGAGCUCGAUGAGUAGGGCGGGACACGUGGUAUCCUGUCUGAAUAUGGGGGGACCAUCCUCCAAGGCUAAAUACUCCUGACUGACCGAUAGUGAACCAGUACCGUGAGGGAAAGGCGAAAAGAACCCCGGCGAGGGGAGUGAAAAAGAACCUGAAACCGUGUACGUACAAGCAGUGGGAGCACGCUUAGGCGUGUGACUGCGUACCUUUUGUAUAAUGGGUCAGCGACUUAUAUUCUGUAGCAAGGUUAACCGAAUAGGGGAGCCGAAGGGAAACCGAGUCUUAACUGGGCGUUAAGUUGCAGGGUAUAGACCCGAAACCCGGUGAUCUAGCCAUGGGCAGGUUGAAGGUUGGGUAACACUAACUGGAGGACCGAACCGACUAAUGUUGAAAAAUUAGCGGAUGACUUGUGGCUGGGGGUGAAAGGCCAAUCAAACCGGGAGAUAGCUGGUUCUCCCCGAAAGCUAUUUAGGUAGCGCCUCGUGAACUCAUCUCCGGGGGUAGAGCACUGUUUCGGCAAGGGGGUCAUCCCGACUUACCAACCCGAUGCAAACUGCGAAUACCGGAGAAUGUUAUCACGGGAGACACACGGCGGGUGCUAACGUCCGUCGUGAAGAGGGAAACAACCCAGACCGCCAGCUAAGGUCCCAAAGUCAUGGUUAAGUGGGAAACGAUGUGGGAAGGCCCAGACAGCCAGGAUGUUGGCUUAGAAGCAGCCAUCAUUUAAAGAAAGCGUAAUAGCUCACUGGUCGAGUCGGCCUGCGCGGAAGAUGUAACGGGGCUAAACCAUGCACCGAAGCUGCGGCAGCGACACUGAUGUGUUGUUGGGUAGGGGAGCGUUCUGUAAGCCUGUGAAGGUGUGCUGUGAGGCAUGCUGGAGGUAUCAGAAGUGCGAAUGCUGACAUAAGUAACGAUAAAGCGGGUGAAAAGCCCGCUCGCCGGAAGACCAAGGGUUCCUGUCCAACGUUAAUCGGGGCAGGGUGAGUCGACCCCUAAGGCGAGGCCGAAAGGCGUAGUCGAUGGGAAACAGGUUAAUAUUCCUGUACUUGGUGUUACUGCGAAGGGGGGACGGAGAAGGCUAUGUUGGCCGGGCGACGGUUGUCCCGGUUUAAGCGUGUAGGCUGGUUUUCCAGGCAAAUCCGGAAAAUCAAGGCUGAGGCGUGAUGACGAGGCACUACGGUGCUGAAGCAACAAAUGCCCUGCUUCCAGGAAAAGCCUCUAAGCAUCAGGUAACAUCAAAUCGUACCCCAAACCGACACAGGUGGUCAGGUAGAGAAUACCAAGGCGCUUGAGAGAACUCGGGUGAAGGAACUAGGCAAAAUGGUGCCGUAACUUCGGGAGAAGGCACGCUGAUAUGUAGGUGAAGUCCCUUGCGGAUGGAGCUGAAAUCAGUCGAAGAUACCAGCUGGCUGCAACUGUUUAUUAAAAACACAGCACUGUGCAAACACGAAAGUGGACGUAUACGGUGUGACGCCUGCCCGGUGCCGGAAGGUUAAUUGAUGGGGUCAGCGCAAGCGAAGCUCUUGAUCGAAGCCCCGGUAAACGGCGGCCGUAACUAUAACGGUCCUAAGGUAGCGAAAUUCCUUGUCGGGUAAGUUCCGACCUGCACGAAUGGCGUAAUGAUGGCCAGGCUGUCUCCACCCGAGACUCAGUGAAAUUGAACUCGCUGUGAAGAUGCAGUGUACCCGCGGCAAGACGGAAAGACCCCGUGAACCUUUACUAUAGCUUGACACUGAACAUUGAGCCUUGAUGUGUAGGAUAGGUGGGAGGCUUUGAAGUGUGGACGCCAGUCUGCAUGGAGCCGACCUUGAAAUACCACCCUUUAAUGUUUGAUGUUCUAACGUUGACCCGUGAUCCGGGUUGCGGACAGUGUCUGGUGGGUAGUUUGACUGGGGCGGUCUCCUCCUAAAGAGUAACGGAGGAGCACGAAGGUUGGCUAAUCCUGGUCGGACAUCAGGAGGUUAGUGCAAUGGCAUAAGCCAGCUUGACUGCGAGCGUGACGGCGCGAGCAGGUGCGAAAGCAGGUCAUAGUGAUCCGGUGGUUCUGAAUGGAAGGGCCAUCGCUCAACGGAUAAAAGGUACUCCGGGGAUAACAGGCUGAUACCGCCCAAGAGUUCAUAUCGACGGCGGUGUUUGGCACCUCGAUGUCGGCUCAUCACAUCCUGGGGCUGAAGUAGGUCCCAAGGGUAUGGCUGUUCGCCAUUUAAAGUGGUACGCGAGCUGGGUUUAGAACGUCGUGAGACAGUUCGGUCCCUAUCUGCCGUGGGCGCUGGAGAACUGAGGGGGGCUGCUCCUAGUACGAGAGGACCGGAGUGGACGCAUCACUGGUGUUCGGGUUGUCAUGCCAAUGGCACUGCCCGGUAGCUAAAUGCGGAAGAGAUAAGUGCUGAAAGCAUCUAAGCACGAAACUUGCCCCGAGAUGAGUUCUCCCUGACCCUUUAAGGGUCCUGAAGGAACGUUGAAGACGACGACGUUGAUAGGCCGGGUGUGUAAGCGCAGCGAUGCGUUGAGCUAACCGGUACUAAUGAACCGUGAGGCUUAACCUUACAACGCCGAAG